AUUCUGUUUCAGCCGGCAAAUUUGCACAUGCAGACGACCACAUUGAACAGUUUUUACAAUGUUGCCUUGUUGAUUGUUCUCAUCAGUGAACAGAAAGGAAUGACAGCUGAUAUUUAUGCAGACAUAGCAACGCUACUGGGAUCGUGUGGAGGGCUUGAGAGUGCCGAUGUUCCAGCAGCUUUGCGGGAUCUUACACACAGUAUUAUGGCUACCACGAACUGGGAAGUAUUUUCUAAAAUGACACCACAGG